ensembl:lncRNA
UCCCUCCCGGUGCUGCCUCUGCCUCCUUCCUUCCUGCUCCUUCUCCCCGCAGCCCUCUCCCGUCCCCAGAGCCAAGCCCCCAGAGGGGGGUUGGCAUACCCCUCCAGCAGAUGGCCAGUCCAUCUAUCCUACAAGGAGGGGCGACCAGGCUUUCACCAGCACAGACACCAAGCCGUACCGAGGCCAGAACCCCAAAAUGACCAGGCUCUGUUCUUCCCCGGGGUAGCACGUGGAUUCAAGGAUCUCUGAAAAAAGCUGCUCUUAAAAGCUCUGGCUGGAUGUAAGGUUUGAGAAAACAGAGGAGAGGAGGGAUAUUCUCUACUGUCAGUCCAUGGCAGGAAAGCAGGGAGAAGCCAGUGAUCCAAACAUACACAUCCUGAUGUCUUCUAACGGGCUCCCAGGGCCCGGACUUGGGAACAGUUUUAACUCCCUUAUAGGAUCUGAGGCCACAAGCUGCCAUAUGGGCUGUCACAGAGUACGGGCACAGAGAGCACCCCUCUAGCCCUGUGCUGGCUGGAGCUGCCCUUACCCCAUUCACGCCUCCUGGCAGGGGUGAGGUUCCCACAGCACUUGAAAUGAACUCGUGGACCCUGCAAGGUCUGCCUGCUGCAGCCCUCUCUAACCCCUCCCCCGCUGCCCCUCCCUCAGAUGCUCCUGCCCCAUCAGCCAUCUUUGUUGCCUUGCCUCGCCAUGCCCAUUCCUGCCCUCUGGCCUUUGCAAUUGCCGUGCUCUCUGCCUGGAAGGCUCAGCCACCAUUUAUACCAGGCCAGUAACUUGGGAUUCAGGUCUCCACACAAAUGCUGGGCUUCCAGGGAGGCAACCCCCAACCUCCAGACUGUCCCUCUUUAUCAGCACAAUGGUUAUCGGUAUUUUCAGUCACUUAGUUUCAUUGAUUUAUUUGUAAGCUGAUCACCUCCAUCCUUACUGUGUGCAAACAGUGGCUCGCCUGUCUGGGAGAGCUCUGAGCCCGCACUGAGAAUGGACUUGCCGGGGAUCACACAGCCGGAAGUGCCAACAAGGGGACUGGAAGGUUCGUGUGUAUCUGGCUCAGAACCAUUCCCACUCCUGACACAUCCCACCCCCAGGACCUGGGGAUAGGGACAAGCCAGGGACAGGCUCUCGUCUGUGAUGGCGCCCAUCUGAGUUGCUCUCGGGAAGCCACAAGGCAAGAUGCCGUCCAUCCCUUUGGAAGCAGGGCUUGGGGAGGCUGAAGAGAAGGUGGGUUCUGCUUUGCUGCCAUUUCACGGAUGGGGCAACUGGAGCAGGGGUGUGAAAUGCUUGGCCAAAUCCCCACAGCUUGUAAGUGGCAAAGACGGGGCUCAAACCCAGGCGGUCUAGGGUGGGGAGGAGGGAGUUAAGAGGGGGUCCUGAACCCAGAAGCAUGGCAUUUCAGUCUAGGCUAGUGGGUGACUCUCAAAUAUUUUGAAUCAAGACCAUCUUUGGAGUGGUCACUUGAAAGGUCAGUUUGAUAGCACUGCCCCAGUGAUUCUCGCUCAGCAGGACUGAGGUGGAGCCCUGAAACCUGCAUGUUCAACAAGCACCCCCAGGUAGCUGAUGCAGGCAGCACAGGGACCUCCACCCUUUGAUGGGAGCGUGUCCUGGCCAGAGACCGGAGGAACCACCACUGCGACGAUCCCUGCAAAGCUACCAUCUCCUCCUCUCUCCCUUGCCUGGUCCCUAACCCCCACCCCCGCAUCCUCUCCAAAGUGAGACUAGGAGGCCUGAUCGAUGCCAGGGAAGCCUUGCUGCUGUCAGCUGAUGGAUCUGAAAGUCAGAAACAACAACAAAGGAUGAUGCUUUCUGCCUGCCUCACAGAGGAUCCUCGAGGUCCCUAGGAGUCUUACUUACUAGGAGGCUAAGUGCUCUGGAAUAUCAAGAGUUGGGGAGAGAAGACAGGCUGGCCGAGGAGAGGUGGGAAUUGGGAAUAAAAUAGAACAAGGCUGGAAUCCCUCUCUGGGUAUGUGACCUUUGGCAAGUUCCUCUACCCUAGUGUCCUCAUCCAUCAAAUUGGAAGAAGAAUUUCUGCAGAAACUGUUGAGAAGGGUAAGUUGGAUGAAGCAAGUGAAUGCAGGCUAGGCCGUCAGUAUGAGCUAGUGUUCUGCUUGCUUCCUAGCCAGAUCAGCCCUGCUCUGGGCUCCCUGCUCCCUGUGAGACUUGGAUACGAUUGACACCUUCCCUACCUCCCUUGGUCCCUUGGGGUGGGCCAAGACAAUCAGCAUGUCCCAUCCUUCUAGUCACAGAGAUUGGUUUAGGGAGAGGGCAGGUGACCUAAGCCAGGCCAAUCAAAGAAUCUCAGGACUUUUAUGGGAAUAAGUGUGAAUUGCUCGGUCCUUUCUGACUCUCUGUGAUCCCAUGGACUGGAACCCACCAGGCUCCUCUGUCCAUGGGAUUCUCCAGGCAAGAAUACUGGAGUAGAUGGCCAUUCCCUUCUCUGGGGGGAUCUUCCUGACCCAGCGAUCUAAUCCGGGUCUCCUGAAUUGCAGGCGGAUUCUUUACCAUCUCAGCCAAAUGCCUGGCCACAAACAAGCUUUCCCCCACCCCAUAUUCAAAACAGGAAGCUUGUGGUCUCAGGAACUACUGAACAUUCUCACAGGGAGUCCUGGAUCCCCCUAUUCCUGAAGAUAGACUGCCACAUGAGCCAACAUAUUCACUUGUUUGCUGAAGCCAACUUUAGAGAAGCCUAGCUUUUCUCAGUCGCUACGAAAUAAAGCGUCUUCCAUCCCACCCAAUCACCAGCUCACUUAAAAUUGAGAGUCCCUUCUCACAAGUGCCCCCGCCUGGCUCCAGGGUGGGAAUUUCCAUCUCUAGCAAGCUCCAUCACCCCAGCAGCAGCAGGCACUGGGUUGUCACGUGUGGCCACUGCUGCCCGGCUCUGCUGCUCCAACUACCAAGAAGCUGCACACAUUCACCUUGCUAUUAAGUAUUGCCAGGAGCCAGCCUCCUCUUAGCUCUGGGCCCCAAUGCAGCCGGGCUCAGAGCUGCAUUAAAUGAAGGCUGCAGCCCUGAAACUGUUCGAAUGGAUCUACAUCAACGAGGACAGCGAGGAGGGCAUGCCUUUAAAUAGAUUAUUACCAAGAGUCAGCCAGGGCAGGCCAAGUUUGCCUUCAGCAUCAUCCUCCCCUCGUUCCUGUAUCCCUCCUCUGUCUACUUUUAGUGGACUUUGCCCCAUAUCCCGUCAGAAAUUAAUUCACACUGUAGUGGCUUAAUGUGUUACUCCUCUAGAUAUCAGAGAGGAACAGCACACAGGAGUGGGCAGUGUUUAACCUAAAGGAUGGGUUUGGUGAUGAUGGCGUUGUAGACACCUUAAAG